rnacentral:lncRNA from 1 species
CAGCGUACAAACCAUGCAGGUAUGAUUUUUACUUAUAUUAAACGAUAUAACUAUUUUAAAUCAAUUUAUGUGAUAGAAUAUUCAAUUGCAUAGGUGUCAGGUCUGAUCGCUGGUGGACAAUAAACAAAAUUGCCGUUUCUUGGAAGGAGAAAUAACAGUAACUUAAAAAAGGCACUGGCUACGGUUACAUGGAAAUGUAACAAUAAUAAAAAUAUUAUUGUUACAUUGGAGACUAAUUCCCGGAAUGCAAAGUUGGGUAAGGAACCGAUUAAUACGAAUGUAACAAAAUUAUUGAGGCUACGGUUACUUGCGUUAUUGUUACAUGAAAAACAGCAAUAUACGCUGGAUUUAUUAAAUUUAAAUCUUCUAUAGUUUUGUUGCUUAAUUCUUUCAUAUGUACCAAAUAAUACUUGUAAUAAUGACAAAUAAUAAAUAUUAUUAUUCAACAAAUUGUGUUUGAAAAGAUUUACGUAUUAAUGGUUUUGAUGUUCUAAAAGAUACUGUCCCAAGUCAGGAGACUCUGUGAUUUUUAAUUUUAGUUUCUUGUAUAUAAUUCGGAGUUUAACGUAGCGUCCAUUAUCACUGAACUAGUACAAUGUAUAUAUAUAUUUGUUAAGGGGCUUGCUGAAGGACGCCCCCCGGUGCGGGAUUUUCUCGCUACAUUGAAGACCCAUUGUGGCCUUCGGCUGUUGUCUGCUCUAUAGUCGGUUGUUGUUGCUUUUAAGUUGACACAUUCCCAUUUCAUUCAUUUUACUUCAGAAAAGUAGUGUCAAGGCGAAAAUUAUAGUUUCAAUGUUUGUUGUUGGGAACCGAGUCGGCUAGAAAAGUGUCCUUUCUCAGUAUUUUACUGCACACCUACUCCAUAACUUGCCAUAUACUUUGAACAAAGGACAAGAGAUUCCUUACCAAUUAGUUUUGGGUGAAAAUUUAAAACUUGGAUUGGUUUGAAACGAAACUGUAUAAUAAAAGACAUAAUUUCAUACAACUAUAUAAACGCAGUUCUGAAAAAUGAUAUAUCAAAAGCAAAGUUUGCUAACUGUGAACUUCUGUAUACAUGUAUCCAUGAGGAACGUAAUUUUCGUUUCAAAAUCAGAUGGAGCCUAAACCUAAGGUAACUUUUUUCCCCUUUUUUUUAAAUCUAUAUACAAUUAUUGUUUGGAGAGGUUUUAUAAAAAAAAUGUGUCGGACUUUAAAAUGCUCCAAAAACCACUUACUGGAUAAGUAGAAACUGUCAUUGUAAAUAAAAAUAAAUAAAGAAAUUGUAUGUAAUAAUUGUAUGUAUUGUAAAUAUAAAAUAAAUGUUUUCAAUUUAUUAUUUAGUACAUUACUAGUCCAUGUACAUGCGUUUUUUCAUGUAACAAUAGCAAUAACCGUAGCCUCAUAAUUUGUUAAUUCGUAUUAAUCAGUUCCUACCCAACUUGCAUUCCGGCAAUUAGUCCAAUGUAAAAUAAUAUUUUUAUUAUUGUCACAUUCCAUGUAACCGUUGCCUUUAAAAAAAGGGGGAGGGGGUACUUAAAAAAAAAAGGUAUCACACUUUAUUCUAGCUGCGGUACCAUACUGUGGCAUGCAUAAAUUUAUUCUCAUAGACAGAAAAUAGUGUUUGCAUUUUGAAUGAUAAGUAUGUGGGAUCACCCCCUCCCCCCCCAAAAAAAAAAACCCACUGCAUUAUCAUUAUUGUGUGGCAUUAGCAUGAUCAAGGAUUUGUACUAUACAAAUCCUUAGUAAGUAAGUAAGUAAGUAAAACUUUAUUUGGAUUCAGCAUAUUGACAAACAGUACAAACAUAUGCUCUAAUGAGCUUUUCACCGAAUAUAAAAACAUAUGCAAUAAACAAAUAAAACAAGGCAUGCGGCAUGCAAAAUAAAUUAUAAAAAGCAGCACCAAAAAUUAGCUCUAAGCAAUAGCAUAUGUAUCUGCUAUUGGAAGCCGCAUGCAUGAUUAGGAAUCAAAUGAGCUAGCAAUCAAAGGUUACCUAUGAAAUUAUGGUGUCAUUAUUUAUUUGUACAUGUAUGUCAUGAAAAGAAAAAAUCUACUUCACAGGUUUUGAAAACUAAUUAUAUAUUUUUCUCUGUGUCUAUAAUUUCUAAACAAUUAAAACAUUUAUAAGCUGGAGUAUAUAUCAGUAACACUCAAGAAUGUGUCCACUCCUUAAAAGGAAGAUAGAUAGAUAGAUAGAUAAUAGGCUGCAAAUACUAAUAGUUAUGUUCAAAUGCCAGAAUCAUGUAUUUUAAUUUACAAAAAUGUACAAGUACAAUGCAUAAUCACCCAUUUUUUUACAAUGUGUACACAAAAUGUACAUGUACAUUCCAUUUAUCAGUUGGAUCAUCUAGCUACUAAUGGCUAGUUUACAGAAAACCAGGCAUAUAUAAUACUGUUAUAUUCCACUAACCAUAUAUUAUAUGAUUAUAUAUUUUUAAUUUUUGUGUUUUUGUUGAAUUUAUGCUAUUUUGGUGUCCUUGUCUUCAAUUUCCCCCCCUUUAAGACUUGCAUGUGUAGGCUGAAGGUAAAGACACAGAAGAGUGCAGGGGGAAAUCAUGAUCAGUACCCCUCUUUUGUUGACUAGCUGUAUAUUUUAAAAUAUAUAGUGCUGAUUCUGAUGAUAGAUAAUUAUUUUUUUAGGUUUCUUGUACUAAGUAACUGAUUAUCAUGACACUGUCAUAACAUGAGGUGCCAGGACAGGCAGGAGAUGUGAGAAGUAGCAGUUUUAAAAUUUUAUCGCGGGAAAUGUUAAUUUCAAUAGUAUUUUAUCUUUUGGUAAGUUUUAGAUAGUCUUAUAUAUAAAAUAAUUAGAAUUUUGAAUGUAUACAUGAGGGUUUGGAUGGGGUUAAAUGAUUAAAGAAUAAUGCCCUUAAAAAAUGAAGAUUAGAGAAUAACGGGCAAAAAAAUGAAAAUUAGAGAAAAAAGGGGUUAAUUUUUUGAAGAUUAGAGAAAAAAGGGGUUAAUUUUUGAAGAUUAGAGAAAAAAAGGGGUGAAAAUUAAAUGUUUACAGAAUAACAGACCCCCCCCCCCCCCCCAAUCCAGACCCUCAUACAUACAUACAUGUACAUAUAGAACAUCAUUUUUUUUUAAAAUAGGACAAGUGAAUUCAUAUUUAAAGUGUAAAUUAAGUUUCUAGUUUAAAAAAAUAACAUUUAAUGAAAAAACUAAGGUCAUAUAUAAAUGUAAAAUACUGCAAUCUUUUGAAACAGAUAAAAUAAUGUGAAAUGGCAAUUUUAGACCAUGAAAUAUAGUCCUCAUUAAAACUGAUUAUUUCUGUAAUAUGCUAGAAAUAUAGGUAGGGUCAAACAACCCUACUUUUGUACUUGAAUGUCGGUUUGAUAGUAAACUAAUGUGCAAUUUUAUAUGACUGUAAAUGAGAAAUCAGCUAAUUUUGAUUAUUUUUGUCAAAAUAGUCAAUAUUUAGAGAGUGUGUUCGGAGUUCCAAAAAAACAUAUUCUAAGUAUGAAAAUAAACAGUUUUUCUAAGACUUGCUGAUCUUACUCUUUCAUUCAUAUUAUUACAUUCAAUUUUGGCAAAAAAUGACAAACUAUAGCAAAUUUAUAGCAACUCACCAAAAUUUUGAUCAUAUUGUAAAUUAGUUCAAUACACUGUUUCAUAAGGUUUUCAUCAUCAUGUAAAUAUUGAAAUCUGUCACUAAUCAUGUGUAUUCUUCAAAUAUCUAUAAAUUUGUGAUUUUUCUUUUCUUGAUUUGAAGUUGGAGAGAAUUGGAGAUUUGAGCCACUAUAAACAUACAUGUAUAAUAUCACUGUACUAGUAUACAUGUUUUUUUAAGGGGCCAGCUGGACACCGCCUCCUGGUGUGGGAGUUUCUCGCUACAUUGAAGACCCAUUGGUGGCCUUCAGCUGUUGUCUGCUCUAUGGUCUGGUCUGGUUGUUGUCGCUUUGACACAUUCCCCAUUUCCUUUCUUAAUUUUAUAUAUAAAAUAUAUCUCUGCAUAUCUGAAGCCCCAGACUAGUAAAUUUCUUUUGGACUAGUAAGUUUUUGCAAAACUUUGUUUGAACCAAUAAGAAAAAUGUCAGAAUAUUGGUCUUUGGACUAGUAGUUGAGAAAAGAUUUUGGUGCAGACUGUAUAUAUAUCACAUUUCCUUUAUCAAAAGUUUUUUUUCAAGCAGAAAAAAUGAAUGGGUUGAAGAAAAAUUAUUGAAAGCUACAUUUGUCAAAAUUAAAUAUUUGCGGAAAAUAUGCUCUUUUUAGUGGCCUCCUCUCAUGCUUGUUUCUAGCUAUAAAUUGCACUUAUCAAAGACUUAGACAGACACAUGUUUUAUUUUACUAAACAUAUAAAUAUAUAUAUAUUAUAUCAGAUUUUGAAUUAUUUCUUCUAGAAUGGUGUUUUUCUAUGCAUUCUACAAACUAGUUUUCUUUAAACAAAAACAAAGUCUAAAAUACCUUGUGAAAUAUAAUUUUAGCUUUUAAAUUACAUUCUGUAGUACAUUGUAGUUGCAAAGGGAGAUAAGAUCAAUAUGUAAUAGCUUCAAAGAUAUGAAAAAAUAUAUGUUAUAUUUUACUAGAUUUUUGCACAUGAUCUCCUGAUAUGUUCUGAAUUUGAUCAUAGGUAUUUUUUUUUAUUGUUCAUGUAUCAUUAUGAAUUGGUUUUUUUCUUAUUUUUGUAUGAACUAUUCUGAUCAUUCAUAAAGUCAAAUAGACAAUACCAAACUUUGAUAAAAAAAAAUGAUAUGCAAUGCAGUACUACACAUCCACCCUUUCUGUAUUUGUAUCAACAUUUAUAUAUGUCAGCCAUACCGUGUGAUGCGUUUUCAAUUCAUCACUUGACAACUUCUGUUUACGAACCUUGUCUGAUUUUACACAUGAUAGCAAGUUGAAAAUUCGUCAUUUUUCUCAGGACUACAAUACAAGGAUUGAAUACAAAAUUAUAACCAACAUACAUAUCAACAUUGUAGCUGAAACGGUCCGUGUAACACUUAUCAAUUCAAAGUUUUAAAACGUUUUGAAAUUUUAGAUUUUUGGAAUUUUGAUCAAAGUUUUAAAAUAUCAAAAUUUCAAAUUGCGUAAAAGUUUUGAAAUUUAGAAAGUUUAACCAAAUAAUUAAAAUAUCAAAAUUCUAAAUAUCGUUUUUAAAUUUGAUAGUUUAAAAAUUUGAUCAAACUUUGAAAAUACUAAACCUAACGUGCAAUUUUGAUUAUUUCACUUUUUGAAAGUUUGAUAUUUUAAAUUUUUGAUUAAAAUAUCAAAAAUAGAAAAGGGGCGAAAAGAGGGAAACAUAUACACACGGCACCUAUUUAAACUGUCAUCAAAAAGGCCAGAGGCUCCUGAAUUGGGACAGAUGCAGGCCCACAAAUGCACAUGUUUCGUGAGAUCACAACCCCCCCCCCCCUCUACCUCUAGAAAAUGUAGAAUGAACUAACGUUCACACAGUUAAUUAAACACACUUUAAAAGAAAUCCAAGUCCUAUGUCAGAAUAGGAAACAUAAGAAAGUAAUCAAAAUGAAAAUGUUAAUAAAUGAACAAAGGACUGUCAUAUAUAUAUAAAGCCAGCUCCAAACCUCAAUUAAACUAAUUGAAAGAUAAUGUCUUCAUCAAUUGAAUAACAAACACAAAUCCUCCCUGGUGUAUUUAUUGCUAUCAUUCAUGAAAUAUUUGUCACUGACAACCAAAAAUCGAUAAUUCAAAAUAGGUUCUUUACAUACAAAUUUCAAAGAAACUCAGGAUUCAGCUGGCUCGGGCAAAGUAGCCCUUAUAGAUGUAUUUUGGUAUGUUUAAUAGAUAAAGGAAGAUGUGGUAUGCGUGCCAAUGAGACACUCGACAUCCAAAUAACAAUUUAUAUAAGUAAACCAUUAUAGGUUAAGGUAAGGCCUUCAACACGGAGCGUUGGCUCACACCGAACAGCAAGCUAUAAAGUGCCCCAAAAAUUACUAAUGUUAAUCAUUCAAACGGGAAAACCAACGGUCUUAUCUAUAUCAAAACGAGAAACACGUAUGAACUACAUCAACAGAAGACAACCAUUGUACAUCAGAUUAACUUCAUUUUAGCGAAUCACCUCUUCAAUUGAUUCGGUUCUUAUAUAUACUUCACUUUCAAAUAUUCAGUUUUCAGUGUUCUGUAGGUGAAUGAUUUACUUAAAAUUCAGCAUUUUACAUUGUACUGGUUUUUCGAGAGCAACAUUGGUGUAUGGCCAAAAAUGGGAAAAUCCAUCAUGCAGCUGACAAGCGUGGCACUCUCUUUACACGUCCCAUUCUGAUUGGACGUACCUGUGUUCUUUUACUUUGAUUAAAGUUGAUUAUCGUUCGAUAACUUAAAAAUGCAUAAAUAACAAAUACGGAAAAAUGAUAUCUCUUGAUACCAAAAAAAAAAACCCUUUUCCUUUUAUGUGCUAUUUAAAAACAGAGGUUGAUUUAGAGUCCCCAAUGGAGCUACGUAUAUGAUAAAUGCAUAUACUUUUUACAAGCAUCAGUCCAAACGUUAUCUAAGGGAGAGCCCAUUUAACUCCAAAAGUUGUGUUAUUGAAGUAAAAAAAUCGCGCUAAGCUCUUAAAAUUUAAUUUAUGAAGUUUUUUUUAUCGCUAUUGAUCAAAUUAUUUGGUUCAAAAUUUAACACUUUAAGGUAUGGGGGGAAUCUGGAUUCAGAUGAUAUUUGUUUUGUCCUCUGCUUGCACAGAUUUUUCCCCUAUCAAACUGGGGUUCAAAAUAUUUUUAUGUACCAUUAUUGAAGCCCCUCGUGAAUGUAUCCAAGUAAAAUAAAAUUAAAAAAAAAGUGUCACCUUAGUGACAAUAUUUAUAUAUCAGAUUCCCAAACAAGAUUACCAUUUAUCGCUAAUAUAAAAUAUUCAAAAUAUUUUUUUAAUUUUCAAAAUGCCGACGCCUACAAGUAGAUAGAUGGGGGCAUAAUGUACAGCGGCAACUUUUACAUUAAUAUGAAGCCUGGAAAUAAUGUGUAUGGUAUACGUUUAUGAUAAAUAUGAUGAAUGUGUUCAGCUUUUACAAAACCAGAACGAUAAGUUGUAUGUUAACGUUUCUUAUUUUUUUUUUUUUUUUUACCUUUUUAAUUUAAUUUGGUUUUAUUGGCUUUUUUUAAACUUAAUUUGAUUCGAGUGUCUUUGAUUAAGUCUUUUGUAGACGAAACGCGCGUCAGGCGCAAAUAAAAAAUUUACACCCGGGCAACUAUCUAUGAAGAGUUUAUGUAGAAACCUUAUAAAAAUUUCCUGACUCCAGGCUACCGAUAAUUGAUUUUACUCUUAAUUUCGGCGUAAUAAGAUAGCGAAAACCUCACACAUUCCAGAUACCACAACGUUCAUUGGGACACCAUGAAUUCAGAUUUCCUACCGUACAAAUACUUAGAACUGAAAUUAUUGAUACAAGGCAAUAUACGAUCGUCAUGCAAACGAUAAAAAAAUGAAAACAAAACGUUAAAAGUUACGACCGAAGCGCUUUUCUGGAUCAGGAACGCUCAAAGCUGAAUAUCUAAGGCCAACAAUUUAUAGCUGACUAUGCGGUAUGGGAUUUGUUCAUUGUUGAAGGCCGUACGGUGACCUAUAGUUGUUAAUGUCUGUGUCAUGUUGGCCUUUUGUGGAUAGUUGUCUCAUUGGCAAUCAUACCACAUCUUCUUUUUAUAAUUAAUAAAGAAAGGAAAUUGUUGCUGAUUAAAACGUUAAAGAUGAUCAUUAAAGAUUUAUUCAUCUACCGACAUGAUUGCAGAAAGUAAGAAAUAGUAGAGAAAAAAAGAAAAAGUUGAAAUCAAAUAAGAUAAUACAACGUGUAUUGAACCAUUUUAUUGCUUAAAGUCCAGCAGAAAACACAUAUAUACUCAGCCUAACCAUACUAUUUGACCUACUGCGAGUUAAUCAGUUUUUACUGUUACUCCUAAAAUAUGGGUGCUGGGUAAAUCAUCAUGUAAAAUGGUCAUUAUCAGAGCCGUGUGUCUUGGUUCAAUUGUCAAAAUGAAUUCUCUUCUUUUAAAAUAUUUAUUUGUCAUCCUAUUUUUAUCACGGCAUAUAUAGAAACUGCCUACUGUGUUUUAUAUCUAUACAUUAACUUUUUUGUAUCAGCAUGUUUCAUUUCAUCUUUAGUUUCGGUUCACUUUUAUUUCUUCCCAGGUUUACAGCUACCCCUCUUUUGCCCCUUUUCUAUUUUUGAUAUUUUAAUCAAAAGUUUAAAAAACCAAACAUUCAAAAAUGGAAAAAAUCAAAUUGCCACGUUAGGUUUAGUAUUUUAAAAGUUUGAUCAAAUUUCUAAACUAUCAAAUUUUAAAAACGAUAUUUAGAAAAUUUUAAUAUUUUAAUAAUUUGGUUAAAAUUCAAAAUUUGCAAAACUUACCACAAUUUGAAAUUGAUAUUUAAAACUUUGAUCAAAAUUCCAAAAAUCUAAAAUUUCAAAACUUUUUAAAAACUUUGAAUGAUAAGUUUACACGGACCGACCAACUCCGGUUACCCGGAACACUGGAUGAUUUUACACAUGAUAACCAAGUUAAAAAUUUUCGUCACAUUUUUCUCAGGAACUACAAUACAAGGAUUUCUGAAAUUUGUUUUCAGGAUUUUUAUAAGUCAGCUAUACCGUGUGAUGCGUUUUCAGAUCCAUCACUCGACAACUUCCUGUUUACCGAACACUUGCAUAUUUGUACACUAUUAAUAUUAUCCACUUGCGGCGGGGGUAUCAUCAGUGAGCAGUAGCUCGCAGUUUCACUUUAUGAAUUGGUUUUUUCUUAUUUUGUAUGAAACUAUUCUAUCAUUCAUAAAUCAAAUAGACCAAUACCAAACUGAUAAAAAAAAAAAUGAUAGCAAUGCAAGUACAUAUACUAGAGGCCCUCAUGGGUUUUGAUUAUGUAUUACUUUUGGCCGGUUUUUUUUAAUGAUUAUUUAUUAUUAAGCCAAAUAUUUCAUGAUUUUUAUAACCUAACUUAUUUGUAGAUUAUUGAUUACUAAAAUAAAGCAAUAUUUAAUAUUAUUAUUAUAUUGGCAAAAAAAUGGUGAUUAUGUAACUAGGACCCCCCCCCCCCCCAUGAGGGCCUCGAUACUAUAAAUCUAUUAAUAACCCCACGCAACGAAGUUAGCGGAGGGUAUAAGUUUUGACCCGUCGUCCGUCCGUCCGUCAUCGUCCGUCAGUCCGUCCGUCCGUCCGUCCGUCAGUCCGUCAGUUCCCGUCUUGUCAUCGCAACUCCUUCUCAAACCACACAACAGAAUUUCAGCGAAAACCUUUUCAGAAAUAAGAUCAUACUAUGUUAGUUGUCAUAUUCGACGCGAAAUGCAUUCAAUUUUUUUUCUAGAUCUUACCCGCUUUGAACUUAUUACUUUAAGUACUACUCAACAGUUGUCAUCGCAAUCCCUCAACCACACAACAGAAUUUCACAAAACUUUUCAUGAUAAUAAAACAUACUAUUUUAGUUGGCAUAUCCGCGGAAAUGCAUAUUCAAUUUUUUCUAGGAGUACGCCCCUUUAACCUUAUUACUUAAUGUACUACAGCAACAGUUAUUCAUCGCUAACCCUCUCAAAACCACACAACAGAAUAUCACGAAACCUUUCACAUAAUAAGGACAUACUAUGAGGUGCAUAUCGACGGGAAAAUUUCAUUCAAGUUUUGUCUAGAUUACGCCCCUUGAACUUAUUUACUAAAUGUACACUGCAACAGUUUGUCAUCGCAACUCCUCUCAACCACACUAACAGAAUUCACGAAAUCUUUUAUAUGAAAAGACAUAUUAGUGUUGUGCAACAACGAAAUUACCAUUCAAUUUAUUCUAGAGUUACCCCCUGAACCUUUAUUUGCUUCAAUUACUUCUGCAACAGUUUCAUCUCAAACUCCUCUGAAAAACACACAGAAUUCAUGCAAAUUUGUAGAAAUUAAGACAUUACUAUGUAUUAUGACAGAAAUAUUAUCAAAUUUUUAUUACAAUUUUUUCUAUACUUAUUUAAUUCUCCAAUGACCAAUUGUGGGGACGUGGUAUGUGAGCUACUCACUAAGUUCUUUAAUUAAUAUUUUUCUUCUAGAAUGGACAUAUAUGGAACUGUAACACAGAGAAGCUGACUUGAAAGAAAUAUACUUAGUAUUUUGUGUGCUGAUAGAGAAUGACAGUCACAGACUUUUAUAAAUGUUGUAAUUCAAACAAUUAUCAUACACACAGGAAAUAAACAUA